ACAGGUUAGUGUUGUUUGUUUAUAUGUGUUUCCUUCAAUGGUGAGUCAAUCAUAAAAUGGUUAUUGUGAUAUAUUGAUAAUGAAAUUUAGUUAGUGGAUGGAUUAUAAUUUCUUUAAUUUCCUUAUAUUUUAAAAAUUAAACGAAUUAAUAUGCAAACACAGUUUUUUUUGUUAAACAUGGGAACGCUUAUGCAUGAGUUGAUCAUUUGUUUUAUUUUAUGCUCAGAUCGGAUCA
rnacentral:lncRNA from 1 species